rnacentral:rRNA from 1 species
UCCACCGAGUGCUUGCUCCACCGUGAAAAAGAGGAGUGGCGAACGGGUGAGUAACACGUGGGUAACCUGCCCAUCAGAAGGGGAUAACACUUGGAAACAGGUGCUAAUACCGUAUAACAAUCAUAUACCGCAUGGUUUUGAUUUGAAAGGCGCUUUCGGGUGUCGCUGAUGGAUGGACCCGCGGUGCAUUAGCUAGUUGGUGAGGUAACGGCUCACCAAGGCCACGAUGCAUAGCCGACCUGAGAGGGUGAUCGGCCACAUUGGGACUGAGACACGGCCCAAACUCCUACGGGAGGCAGCAGUAGGGAAUCUUCGGCAAUGGACGAAAGUCUGACCGAGCAACGCCGCGUGAGUGAAGAAGGUUUUCGGAUCGUAAAACUCUGUUGUUAGAGAAGAACAAGGAUGAUAGUAACUGUUCAUCCCUUGACGGUAUCUAACCAGAAAGCCACGGCUAACUACGUGCCAGCAGCCGCGGUAAUACGUAGGUGGCAAGCGUUGUCCGGAUUUAUUGGGCGUAAAGCGAGCGCAGGCGGUUUCUUAAGUCUGAUGUGAAAGCCCCCG